UCCCCUCAAAUGUCACCGUUUCAGUGAGGCCAUCCCUUAUGACCCAAUAAACAACCUCCCCAGCACUUCCCCGGGCCCCUUGCCUUCUCCACUUUUCUCCACAGUAACGGACAUGCUCUACAUGCAGCUCUUUGUUUGUUCAUUGUUAUCUCCCUCCACCUCAAGGUCAGCUCCAUGGGGGCAGGUUCUUUGAUUUGUUUCUUGCGACAUCCUUGGGGUCGGGACCAGUGCCUGACAUACAGGAGGAGCUUGAUAAAUACUUGCUGACUGGAAGACCGGUACUCCCCACAUCUCUGUACUCCAGAAUAAAAUGGGGGUUGGUCCAAGAGGUACUGGAUUCUGGGUAGGAUCCGGGCAAUCUAGGUCCUGGGUCCAAGUGUCUAAAUACCUUACUACGCUGCUUUUCAGUGCAUACCAGCUCUAAAAUUAAACAUCUUUAGGCAGACAUUCUCCAUUUAUUUUCUGACUCCAACAUUCCCUAUUAUUUAUAACCCACAUCUCUGCAUGUACAUUCUGUGCCAAUUCCUUGAAGGCACUGGAAUUUGCAUCUUCUGGAUGAAACCAAAUGUUUAGUUUAGACUCCUCUGGAAGAGUGACUGAAUAGAGAUGGGUCUUGCUUUGUGUAAUCCUAAUACUUAAGCAGCUAUUAAGACUAAUUUUUCAUGCAUUGCUCAUUCAAUAAGUCUCAUUAUUGUACUGCUCCAUCUCAUAUAGGAAGAGCCAAAUGAAGAAGAAUUACAAAAUUAAACAACACAACCUGCACUUUACAUAAAGGCUCACUUCAGGGAACUUUAAAAAGUGAAGAAUUUUCCAAAUUACUUCUAGGCAGCUGAGAAGAAUGGUGGUCAUCUACAUCCAAAAAACGAGAAAAAUGCAGAUUAACAAGAAGAACGAAUAAAACUGUAGAAAGCCCAGGCCUGCAGCAUAACCAAAAGACAGAGAAUGCUAUAAACUUUAAAGUAUGUGUAAGUGGAAAAACAAACGUGCCACCCAGGCAAAAUGUGUCUCAUGCUUCUGUUGCAAGCCUUUGUGGAAAGCAAGACUGUUCGGAAAAGAGAAGAGAGGAGCAGGGAAUGGCCUGAUAUUGAUCUAGAGAAAGUCUAUUGUAAAUGUGAACAAACUGAAAAAGGAUCCUGGUAUGUCAGUGCACUGACUACAGGAAAUGGGCAUAAAAGCCUACAAACUUCCCUAAAUACCAAAAGAAAUGGGGUGGGGGGGUGGUGAGUAAGGAAAACAUCAUAUAGAGAAACAAAUUCCUGAGUAUAUCUUACCCACAAUAGUUACAUAAAACCCGACAGAUAUAAGACCAAGCAUGUAAGUCACAGCAAUAUAUGUGAAUGAGUAUAACUAACUUAUUAAAGGAAAUGGUUUUCAAAUGGGCUCACAAGGUAAGGCCCAACUCUCUGCUGUGUACAAGAUUCAGAAAGGCUAAAAUACAGGGAUGGCUCAAAGUGUACCAGGCAAAUGGAAAAAGGAUGAAAGAAGGACUCGUAAGCCCUAUAUCAGGCCCAGUGCCAGUCGAACUACAAAUUAUUAAAAGUGACAGAAGACAUUUUAAAGGCUAAAAUCACAGUUUGCAAUAGAUAUAAUAGUUCUGAAUGAGCAUGUACCAAAUAACAUAGCAACUACCUUUAUGUAGCAGAAACUACAGGGAAUGCAAGAAAAGAUAGAAGACCACUAAAAAUAGAAAACUUUGAGACACACCUCUUGGAACAAAACAGGUCAAGUGGACAAAAGUCAGUAAGGUACAGACAACAUAAUCAAGGCACACCUUAUGACUAUAUACAGAGCUUUAUACCCUAAUUCCCUUUCUUCUUAAAUACACAUGAAACAUUCAUAACAGUUGAUCAAAUGUUAGGCCAUAAAGAGAGCAUCGAUAAAUUCAAUGAAGUAGAAAUAUUACACACAGUGCAGUAAUAUUAGAAAUGAAUAACAAAAUAAAAAUAAAAAGUCCCUUCUGCCUGGAAAUUAAAAGAAAACAACUAUUAAAAAUUUUUUCAGUGAAAGAAGAAAUUAAGUUAUAACCCAAAUUAUAGAAUUUCUAAACAGCAAUCAAACAUUAAUUAUUAUAACCUAUGGGAUCUGAUUAGAGCAGUUAUUGGAAGAAAUUUUAUAACCUUAAGCACUUACAUCAAUAACAGUAAAAAAUGGAAAGAAUGACAAUAAAUGAAUUGGAUUUGCUACUCAAAAGCUAGAAAAUGAACAAACAAGUUAACCAAAGGAAACCACAAGGAGGGUAAUGGUGAAGACAAAAGCAAUAAUUAAUGAUACAGAAAACUGAAAACAAGAGAUGUAAUGAUUGGGUCUUUGAAAAAAAGUACCCAAGCGUGCAAAACCUCCAGCUAACCUAAUCAAGAGGACAAGGGAGAAAGUCCACGUUGAGUCUGAGCCCGUGACUAGGGAGAGCGGAUAACAUACUUACGCACACAGAAAGGGGUCUUGCCCGACCAGUGAUGAUCCUGCUGGCAGAUGCGCACAGACAUGCCGAUCAGGCGGAAGCCGGCAUCGCACUGGUACACCACGCUGCCCCUGUAGCUGUAGUUCUCCCCGUUGAUAUGUCCAUUGACGAUGGGCUCAGGGGUCCCACAGUGUCCGGCUUUGGUGGGAGAUGAGGAAAGAGUGUAAAUUGAAGAGGAGCUUAUACAAGACGAGUAGGGGUUUGGUCAGGGUUGGGGAGACAUGGAUGGUGAGGAAGAGGACCAAGGACCCAGCCACCCAUUAUUUUCUCCACCUCCUUCUGAGAGUAGCUAUCCAGGAAUGGCUUUAGGAAUCCUAGCAUGACAGAAAUGGCAUCCCCAAAUCCCAAGGUUGAAUCCCAAAAGGCCAUCCAUCUCUGAACUGUAGUUUCUGUAUCUGUCUGUGGGUUAGAAAUGAUCACUGUUCCCUGCCUCUGGGAUCGUCUCCCUCUUUUUUUCAUCAGGUAGCAUCGACUGAACAUCUACUGAAUGGAGGGCACCUGGUCUACAUUAAGGCAGUCAAAGCCCAGCUGAGUUGAGUUGGAAAUGACUAUGCACAAACAGGUGAUUUGGCUAAACCCACCUUUCCUUCUCCUUGAGUGGCAAGAGACACAGACAACUUAACCUAGGUAGAAUGAUGCUGUUCAAAGACUACAAUCAACUUUAGAAAGCUCUAACCUGCCUUGAGGAGAGAAAAAUGAGGAGGACAGAUCUGGGGAGGUCACUCACCAAGGCAGCGAACUUCAGAGCCACUCCAGAGCCCAUUUGCCAUGCACUCCCGCACCCUGGAGCCCACCAGCGUGUAUCCAGAAUUGCAGGAGAAGAUGGCCGUCGCCCCAUAGACAGACAGUGUUCCAAUGCGGUGCCCACUGGGCGGGAUGGGAAGCUCUCCACAGGAGAUGACUAAAAAAGAAAUCACAAAGUACUCUGAAAAGCCAGCAUGAAGGGGAGGGACACGGGCUUCUUCUGAGUAGUAAGAAUAAUGACAAAGAUGAGACCUGUUUAACUUUAUUGGGACUCAUGAGCCAAAUGUGAGACAUGGCAGUGACUUGCGUGAUGUUACAGCUGGAGCAGUGAUUCUCAACUGGAAGUGCGGCCAGAAACACCUGAGGAGAUUUUAAAAUGCCCAGGCUGUACUCUGGACCUACGUCUCACAAUCUAUAGAGAUAAGGUCCAGGCGUGUGCAUUUCUAAGAAAAAACUCUUCAGGCAGUUCAGAUAUGUACCCUGGUUAGGAACCACUACACUAGAGGCAGAGAUUCUGUGGUGUCCUUGGUGUCCAGGGCAGACACUACCAAUCAAUCCCUUGUCCUUUCUGCUGAGUGCAG